rnacentral:tRNA from 1 species
GGAAGAAGUGGUUAAUCGCACUGGACUGUAAAUCCAGCGAGCUAUGCUCCAUGGUGGUUCGAACCCGCUCCUUCCC